rnacentral:lncRNA from 1 species
GAAACAUUGGUGGCCCUGAUAGACUGAGAAACUCCCCAGGCCUCUUCCAAAGAUGUACUUGAUGGAGAAGCAAGGGCCGGAUUCUCCAUUUCCCAGCCUCCAGUUUGAUUUGCUUUCCAUGACAUUAGGUUAUAGCAACUGAGGUUUGAGAAAGAAAAAAAAAUGUCAUUCAUCAUUUCUAUUUAUAGUUAUGGCUAAGGAAGCUAUUGAAGGACAUGUAAAAAUCUGUAAAAUAUAUAUGUAUGUAUACAUGUACACAUUCAAGGAAAUAAUUACACACACACACACACACACACCAUCUCCCAUGUUUUAACAAAGAAAGCACAACCUCCUGACGCUGCCAUUUUCCACACAGUCUUUUGUUCGUUUCUUGAACAGCUGCCGCUAUGAGUAGGUGAAACACACACACACACACACAGAUCAAAUUGCAGUUAGGUGUGUCAAAAUGACUGGGUGUUCUUGUUCUGGGUUCCCAAGGCUAAUUAUUAUUUUUAACGCCGUUUGAUAUGCUAAGUGAGGCUGCAGUAAGAGUCCUCAUGUGUGCAUUAGUCAUUGCCAUCACCGCCCAUGGGUACUUCUGCAUGUUUUGCUGCUUCCAAAGUGUCUGUAAACGAUUCUAUCUAAGCAUCUGAAGAACAUCACAAGCAGCUUCCUCUAUGGUUUUUUCCUAGGAAAUAAAUACCAAACUGGCACAACGAUGGCAAAACCGUGAGUGACAUCAGUACAUACAGUGCCCUGUCCUUCCAUCCUGUCACGUGCCUGGGACCUGGAAUUCCUGCCUAUUCCUUCCACCCAGCAAUUGACCUAUGGCUUCUUUACUGACAGAUCAAGAACUAACUGGGGAACAGGACAGCAUCAGAGCCACCCCUACACCCCAGUGCUUGAAGACAAAAGGAAGAAGAAGAGAAUACGACUGAUUUUCCCUCUGGGCAGUCACACCCACACUCACCUACACACUACCUAACACAUCUCAUCACUAUUUCUCUAAUUUUGGUUCUUCAUUCCAGCCAGGCUUAAAACUUAUGGGGGAGACCUCAACCCCACAAUCACCCUUCAUCAGCCUCCCAAGGGCUGCAAUUCUAGGCACAUACCAUCAUACCAGAGUGCGGGACCCAGUUCUUAAAUGUUCCAUCACUUUCCAACAGCAGCCUGAGAGUGAUCAAGUCCCUUAACUGUUGGAUUCUGGGAACAUUUAUGGUAUAAAGUAUUGGAAGUAGCCUUAUGGACCUUGACUCGGUCAAUGUAUUUUUCAAAUAUUUUGUCCCCAUAUAAGACUCGAUAUUUGGGCCACCGUCAUCUAAGAGAAUAGUAAUAGAAUUCAAUGUUUGAUCCCUAUACUUUUACUCUUGUCUUAUACAAUUUAUAUCCCACACAGAAUAAUUAACUUUAAAAACAAAACAGGGUACUUAUAUUUUGGUCAAAAUGUAGUUACACCUCUAAUAAUUGUCAUAAUUAUAAAAAUGAAAG